rnacentral:misc_RNA from 1 species
AAUUCUCAACUAUACAAGUUUUUGUAACCUGUAUAGCUUGGACUUUGGGAUUUGCGGGCUUUCACGAGUCGGCUAUCCUUAAAUACAUUAGCAGAGCUUUUGCCGCUAACCUCUGGUGUGAUAAUUAUCUACGCCAUUGAGUUGCGACAUACUGAGGCUUAGCUUCUAAUCGUCCGCAAGGACAAUAUUUGACA